GAUGAACGCUGGCGGCGUGCCUAAUACAUGCAAGUCGAGCGAACAGACGAGGAGCUUGCUCCUCUGACGUUAGCGGCGGACGGGUGAGUAACACGUGGAUAACCUACCUAUAAGACUGGGAUAACUUCGGGAAACCGGAGCUAAUACCGGAUAAUAUAUUGAACCGCAUGGUUCAAUAGUGAAAGACGGUUUUGCUGUCACUUAUAGAUGGAUCCACGCCGCAUUAGCUAGUUGGUAAGGUAACGGCUUACCAAGGCGACGAUGCGUAGCCGACCUGAGAGGGUGAUCGGCCACACUGGAACUGAGACACGGUCCAGACUCCUACGGGAGGCAGCAGUAGGGAAUCUUCCGCAAUGGGCGAAAGCCUGACGGAGCAACGCCGCGUGAGUGAUGAAGGUCUUCGGAUCGUAAAACUCUGUUAUUAGGGAAGAACAAAUGUGUAAGUAACUAUGCACGUCUUGACGGUACCUAAUCAGAGAGCCACGGCUAACUACGUG
rnacentral:rRNA from 1 species